rnacentral:rRNA from 1 species
UACGUAGGCAGCGAGCGUUGUUCGGAAUUACUGGGCGUAAAGAGUGUGUAGGCGGUGCUCUAAGUUCGGUGUGAAAUCUCCUGCUUAACUGGGAGGGUGCGCCGGAAACUGGAGUGCUCGAACGUGGGAGAGGAAGCGGAAUUCCUGGUGUAGCGGUGAAAUGCGUAGAUAUCAGGAGGAACACCUGCGGUGUAGACGGCUUCUGGACCAUUGUUGACGCUGAGACACGAAAGCGUGGUAGCAACAGG